rnacentral:lncRNA from 1 species
AAGUAACAUGGAAAGGCAGAGCAAUACUAUACUGCGAUACACCAACAUACUAAGGAGUAACCCUUGGCAGAACACUGACGUAUAAAUAUCUGUGAAAAAACAAGUAAAAAAUAGAGAUGUUACAAACCCUGACUUUUAAGGUUAAACUUAGCCAAACUUUCCUUAAAAUUGACGAAUGCGAACCAAACUGAAAUUUUAAAAUAUUUUAUCGCACUCGAACAUUAAAAAAAUAAAAAAGGUUUUAAAAUUGCAAAACUAAAAUUAUAAUAUUGGGAGAAAAAAAUAGAAAUUUACUUUUUUGUAGCAAGACCUCUGUUCCACAGAACAUUGUAUUGGUGACCGCAUAGAAUGAUUUUAGAACCAAACUUUUGGUAUUAGUUCAGUUUAAUUAUUAGCAAUUUUUAAAGUUCAGUUCCAAAAUCAAACAUCUCUAGUAAAAAUAUAAACACACACAAUGAUCUACUUGGAAAAUUAACAUGAUCAAAAUGGGGAGUAGUCCCAUACGCUACGUGUAUCUGCAAUUGCUAAUAAUGACUAAUUUACACUUAACUUAGAGAUACUGACAAAGAUCCGAAACAUUUUAUGUAUGGGCAGAUGGCUACAACUAUUCAAAUGAAAUCAGAGUUUCCUCAGUCUCUGGUGCCUUAGAAAAUGACUCCUCUCAGAAUAGAAUAAAUACAUGAAAGGAUAAAACACUGGACAUCAGAGGGUGGAUUGAACCGGCAGACCACUUAAUUAAAUCGACCAAGAGUAGGAGUUUGAAGAUCUAAGGAUACAAUGCUGAAAUGGGGAUACUUCUCAGGAUACCUCUUGUUAUUGUGGAAAAUUACAGCCAAUGCUAUUAGGACCUUGGAUGCUAGAAGACUAGACUAUUGCCAACCAGAAAGCCACGGAUGUGGUCCAGUACACAUCUAGUCUACAUAAUAAUUCUAACAUAUUUAACUAUUUACCAUUUAUUAUUGUAUAUUUUAAUUUGUAAACCUAAUUAUAUUUAAUUGUCUAGUCUACUAGUUUUAAAGUAACAGUGUGAUGCAAGACACAAAAAACAAAAUAGUACUAUAUUACAUUUCAAAUGUAAAUACCUAAUAACUAGUGUUUACACAAACAAUAUGAAUAUUGAUAAGUGGCUCGAAAAAUUACUUUUAAAAUACAAUAAUUUUUUUUUGUUUUGGUUUAAAAUAUGAAAACUAACUUUACAAAUGAAAUUCAAUUCCUACUUAAUGAUUUUCCAUUCAAUAUAUAACCUGUUGAUUGGAUGUUAGAUGAUUUGCGUUCCUAAUAUAGUUGUGAAGAGGUCAACCAUAUAGUCAUCCAAAUGUUUAUUUUAAUUUUAAAUUCUGUUAAUGAAUAACAAAUUGUAUAUUAUAUUUAGGUAGAAUGAAACAAAAUUACUGGCAAUACAUUUCUGGGAAAUGCUAAUAGGUUAAAUUACAACUAUAAUGAGACAUUUAAACCAAUUGAUACAAAUAUUGGGAAUACAGUUCCCACAGUCGAUAUUGUAACAUUACAUUUAAGACGCUAUUUUCCAAAUUUAUGUUUUGAUAUUAAUAAUUUCACUAUUUUCCAAAAACUAGUAUGUUGGGCAGUAAUAAGAAAUAAUAGUUGUAUAUAAUAUUGUGGGAUAUAAUGAAUUGGAAAUAUUUUAAAGAAAAUAUAAGUAAUGAAUUAUUUUAUCAUGAAACGCUCACUUCUAGAAUUUCAAUAACUCAUUUUUAUUUAUAUAUUUUCCAAACGACAAUCUCUAAAAAUUAGUUGUUAGGUUGAGAUACACGUUGCACUUCAGGAUAUAAGGGAUGGUCAAACUCACCAACAUUUCAGAAACCAAAAUUCCAGAAAAUAAUUACCAAGAAUACCUUUUUGGAAAAUAAUAAAAUAUAAAAAUAACUUUAUUGAUAAAAAAAAAACUUGAAAUUAUUUCUUGGAAAGAGAUCUAAAUAAGUUAAUUUUUUUUAAAAUGUGAUAACCACUUUCUGUAAUUAAAUUAGUGUUCAGACAUUUUAUUUUGCGUU